UGCGAUGGCAUUGACUGUGUCUGUGGACUG
rnacentral:piRNA from 1 species